rnacentral:rRNA from 1 species
ACUCAAAUGAAUUGACGGGGGCCCGCACAAGCGGCGGAGCAUGUGGAUUAAUUCGAUGCAACGCGAAGAACCUUACCUGGGUUUGACAUAUAGAGGAUCGCCGGAGAGAUUCGGUUUGCCUUGUGCCUUCUAUACAGGUGGUGCAUGGCUGUCGUCAGCUCGUGUCGUGAGAUGUUGGGUUAAGUCCCGCAACGAGCGCAACCCUUGUCUCAUGUUGCCAGCACGUAAUGGUGGGGACUCGUGAGAGACUGCCGGGGUCAACUCGGAGGAAGGUGGGGAUGACGUCAAGUCAUCAUGCCCCUUAUGUCCAGGGCUUCACACAUGCUACAAUGGCGCGUACAGAGGGCUGCGAUACCGCGAGGUGGAGCGAAUCCCUUAAAGCGCGUCUCAGUUCGGAUUGGGGUCUGCAACUCGACCCCAUGAAGUCGGAGUCGCUAGUAAUCGCAGAUCAGCAACGCUGCGGUGAAUACGUUCCCGGGCCUUGUACACACCGCCCGU